CUGGCACACACUACGUCAUCUCCCGCUACUAUGGAUCGGUAUUCAUGGGUCACUCCAGAGCCGAGGACAUGUUGGGUCAUUUCAAUGAAGGUACAAAGGAGCUGAAUCUGAACAACAUGCUCUCACUAUCAAUAGAUGGGCCCGCUGUAAACUGGAAGUUUGUUGAACUCUUACAAGAGGAACACCGAGAGCAGUGUGGUGGAGCCCAACUACAAAUAAUUGAGAGCUGUGGCCUUCACACGAUGCACAACUCGUUCAAGAACACCUUCGCAGUGUGGCAAGUUGAGAAAGUCCUGAAAGCCCUGCACUACCCGUUUCAUUGUGCACCUGCAAGGAAAGAGGACUUUGUGUUAGUGACAAAGUGUGAUACAUUUCCUCUGCCAUUUUGCGGACAUCGAUGGCUGGAAAACCUUCCAGCAGUGGAGCGAGCCAUUGAAAUUUGGCAAUAUAUUGUCACCUAUGUGGAUCAGGUCAAAGCCAAGAAGCUCCCCAAUCCAAGGUCAUCAUCAUAUGACACCAUCGCAGAAGCCCGGAUGGAUCACUUCAUCUUGGCAAAGUUAAACUUCUUCAUGAGUGUCUCAAGCAGUUUUUAGCCAUUUCUCACCAAGUACCAGACAGAUGCCCCGAUGAUUCCCUUCCUCGGCAGAGAUUUGGAGGAUCUAAUCAGGAGCCUUCUCAGAUGCUUCAUAAAGCGAGACGUCCAGGUUGAUGUUUCCCCAGUAAAGCUGGUCAGGCUUGAUGUGACAGACCAAAAGCUUUGAGUCAGUCCAAAGCAAGUGGACAUAGGCAUGGGAGCCACAGCUGCCCUCAAAGUGGUGAUAAGAUUGCCCAACAAUUUCAGAAGUUCCUCUUCAGUGAGGCCAGAGGAGAGGAAUUCAUGGCCUUCAGUGCAUUGGAUGGAAAAUUGCGAGUUGACAGCUUCCUGCACAAGGCCAUUAAUUGGAUAUGCAGAACUUUGGAGUUUUGUGGAAAAGCUGCUGCUUCUGUCCCAGGACAAGCUACUGUGGAGCGUGGGUUCUCCAUAAACAAGGAGGUGGAGAUGUGCAAUAUGAACGAAGACACUAUAGUCUCACAGAGACUAAUCUGCGACUAUGUAAGGAUGUGUGGUGGAGUGGUCAAAGUGCCUCUAACUAAAGAGAUGCUAAAUGAGUGUGCAUCUGCACGCAACCGGUACAGGAUCUUCUUGGAAAAUGAGAGGAAGAAAAAGGAAAGGACAAAACAGAUGAACAAGAGGAAAGGGGUUGAAGAUGAGCUUGAAGAGCUACGCAAGAAAAGAAGAACAAUCUCAACUGUGUGUGAAACUCUAGAAAAAGAUGCAGAUGGUCUUGCAGAGAAGGCUGAGAAUAGAGCAGGGACCAAGAUGGCAGAACUUCUCACUAAAUCCAAUUCCAUGAGAAAAAGAUGCAAGGAAAAGAGAAGGGAGUUGGUGGACCUAGACCAUGAAAUUGAGAAGAAAGCAGCAGAGCUGCGCCACAUGUCUUAAGGAGAAUUUGGGAUGUUACGAAACAAAGGGUUUCACAUAUUAAAAGUCAUGUAAUAACAUUUGUGUUUUCUAACAGUUGUGUAGGUUAUUUGUCAACAUUUUGGCUUGUGAAAGGCUGUUGAGGACGUUAGUGAGUGAGCUUAUUUUCAGUAUUCUAUAUGGUUCCGUCAUACAAGGCAUUGUGUUGUUUAGUGUGAUUUAACUUAUGUUAUGUUGGCUCUGUUCUACAUCACAAAGGACCAAAAUAAAAUAAAACGGUCUCAAAGAAAA